rnacentral:rRNA from 1 species
UACGGGGGGGGCAAGCGUUGUUCGGAAUUACUGGGCGUAAAGGGCUCGGAGGUGGCCAACUAAGUCAGACGUGAAAUCCCUCGGCUUAACCGGGGAACUGCGUCUGAUACUGGAUGGCUCGAGUUUGGGAGAGGGACGCGGAAUUCCAGGUGUAGCGGUGAAAUGCGUAGAUAUCUGGAGGAACACCGGUGGCGAAGGCGGCGUCCUGGACCAACACUGACACUGAGGAGCGAAAGCCAGGGGAGCAAACGGG